rnacentral:rRNA from 1 species
UACGGGGCGCAGCAGGCGCGAAACCUUUACACUGCACGCCAGUGCGAUAAGGGGACUCCAAGUGCGAGGGCAUAUAGUCCUCGCUUUUUGCGACCGUAAGGUGGUCGCGGAAUAAGUGCUGGGCAAGACCGGUGCCAGCAGCCGCGGUAAU